rnacentral:rRNA from 1 species
AAAGUUGGUGGUGAAAUCCCAGAGCUUUACUCUGGAACUGCCAUCAAACUUUUCAGCUAGAGUUUGAUAGAGGAAAGCAGAAUUUCUAGUGUAGAGGUGAAAUUCGUAGAUAUUAGAAAGAAUACCAAUUGCGAAGGCAGCUUUCUGGAUCAAUACUGACACUGAGGAACGAAAGCAUGGGUAGCGAAGAGGAUUAGAUACCCUCGUAGUCCAUGCCGUAAACGAUGUGUGUUAGACGUUGGAAAUUUAUUUUCAGUGUCGCAGCGAAAGCGAUAAACACACCGCCUGGGGAGUACGACCGCAAGGUUAAAACUCAAAUGAAUUGACGGGGACCCGCACAAGUAGUGGAGCAUGUGGUUUAAUUCGAAGAUACGCGCAGAACCUUACCAACACUUGACAUGUUCGUCGCGACUUUAAGAGAUUAAAGUUUUCGGUUCGGCCGGACGAAACACAGGUGCUGCAUGGCUGUCGUCAGCUCGUGUCGUGAGAUGUUGGGUUAAGUCCCGCAACGAGCGCAACCCUCACUUUUAGUUGCCAUCAUUAAGUUGGGCACUCUGAAAGAACUGCCAGUGAUAAGCUGGAGGAAGGUGGGGAUGACGUCAAGUCCUCAUGGCCCUUACGUGUUGGGCUACACACGUGCUACAAUGGUAUUUACAACAGGAAGCAAAACGGCGACGUUUAGCAAAUCCUUAAAAAAUACCUCAGUUCGGAUUGCACUCUGCAACUCGAGUGCAUGAAGCUGGAAUUACUAGUAAUCGUGGAUCAGCGUGCCACGGUGAAUGCGUUCCCGGGUCUUGUACACACCGCCCGUCACACCAUGGGAGUUGGUUCUACCUUAAGGCAAGGCUUUAAAACCUUGACCACGGUAUAGUCAGCGACUGGGGUGAAGUCGUAACAAGGUAGCCGUAGGGGAACCUGCGGCUG